rnacentral:tRNA from 1 species
AAAACUUUAAGUUAAAAAAACUGUUAGCCUUCAAAGCUAAAAUUAUUUAUUUAAGUUUUA